rnacentral:rRNA from 1 species
UACAGAGGUCUCAAGCGUUGUUCGGGAUUCAUUGGGCGUAAAGGGUGCGUAGGCGGCGCGGUAAGUCGGGUGUGAAAUCUUGGAGCUUAACUCCGAAACUGCAUUCGAUACUGCCGUGCUUGAGGACUGGAGAGGAGACUGGAACUUUGACGGUGUAGCGGUGAAAUGCGUAGAUAUCGUAAGGAAGACCAGUGGCGAAGGCGGGUCUCUGGACAGUUCCUGACGCUGAGGCACGAAGGCCAGGGGAGCAAACGG